rnacentral:misc_RNA from 1 species
CCGAGUACCGGUGCCUCCGGGCGCCUGCUCCCACCCUUUGUGAACCGAUUCUUGUUGCUUUGGCGGGCCGGCGGCCCCGGCCGCCCUCCGGCUUCGGCGGGAGCGCGCCCGCCAGAGACCCAUCCAACCCGUCUGAACCGUGCCCUCUGAGUCUCAAAAUAAAAUCA